rnacentral:tRNA from 1 species
AGCUCAGUCGGACAGAGCAAUUGCCUUCUAAGCAAUCGGUCACUGGUUCGAAUCCAGUA